rnacentral:tRNA from 1 species
CCUGGUGUCUCAGACAGUAAAGAAUCUGCCUGCAAUGCAGGAGAUCCGGGUUCAAUCCCUGGGUCAGGA